rnacentral:tRNA from 1 species
GCCUUCGUGGCUCAGCUGGUUAUAGCGCCGGUCUCAUAUCCUCUCCACUCUUGUAGUAAAUAUGACCGCAUUGAGCGGGUCAUCCGGAGAUCGCCAGUUCGAUCCUGGCCGAGGGCA